rnacentral:lncRNA from 1 species
AAGAAGUCAGGCCGGUUUAAGCCAUAGUACGGUAAGAGCUAUGCUGCCUGUGAGCCCCGUCCAAGGACGUAAAAUGAAGUCAGGCCGAAAGCCACGGCUUGAGCAAACCGUGCUGCCUGUGGCUCCAUCGUGGGGAUGUAAAAACCCGGGAGGCUGCAACCCAUGGAAGCUGUACGCAUGGGGUAGCAGACUAGUGGUUAGAGGAGACCCCUCCCAAGAUACAACGCAGCAGCGGGGCCCAACACCAGGGGAAGCUGUACCCUGGUGGUAAGGACUAGAGGUUAGAGGAGACCCC